rnacentral:rRNA from 1 species
AUUGAACGCUGGCGGCAUGCCUUACACAUGCAAGUCGAACGGUAACGCGGGGCAACCUGGCGACGAGUGGCGAACGGGUGAGUAAUGCAUCGGAACGUGCCCAGUAGUGGGGGAUAGCCCGGCGAAAGCCGGAUUAAUACCGCAUACGACCUACGGGUGAAAGCGGGGGACCGUAAGGCCUCGCGCCAUUGGAACGGCCGAUGUCAGAUUAGGUUGUUGGUGGGGUAAAGGCCUACCAAGCCGACGAUCUGUAGCUGGUCUGAGAGGACGACCAGCCACACUGGGACUGAGACACGGCCCAGACUCCUACGGGAGGCAGCAGUGGGGAAUUUUGGACAAUGGGGGCAACCCUGAUCCAGCCAUGCCGCGUGCGGGAAGAAGGCCUUCGGGUUGUAAACCGCUUUUGUCAGGGAAGAAACGCUCUGGGCUAAUACCCUGGGGUAAUGACGGUACCUGAAGAAUAAGCACCGGCUAACUACGUGCCAGCAGCCGCAGUAA